ACUAGCGAUCCGUCGGUGGCUCCAAGGCCCUGAUGGGGAGCUUCCCGGAAACGAAAGUCUUCCGGUUCCGGGGGAAGUAUGGUUGCAAAGCUGAAACUUAAAGGAAUUGACGGAAGGGCACCACCAGGAGUGGAGCCUGCGGCUUAAUUUGACUCAACACGGGAAAACUCACCCGGCCCGGACACCGUGAGGAUUGACAGAUUGAUAGCUUUUUCAUGAUUCGGUGGUUGGUGGUGCAUGGCCGUUCUUAGUUCGUGGAUCGAUUUGUCUGGUUUAUUCCGAUAACGAGCGAGACUCCAGCCUACUAAAUAGUGCGGGAAUUGCCACUGUUCCCUUGCACUUCUUAGAGGGAUUGGCUGCGUCUAGCGGCACGAAACGGAGCAAUAACAGGUCUGUGAUGCCCUUAGAUGUCCGGGGCUGCACGCGCGCUACACUGGCAAAGGCAGCGUGCUUGUCCGUCUCCGAAAGGAGUCGGUAAACCCUUGAAAAUUUGCCGUGAUUGGGAUCGGAAAUUGCAAUUAUUUUCCGUGAACGAGGAAU
rnacentral:rRNA from 1 species